GCUGGGCACGGUGGCUCAUGCCUGUAAUCCCAGCACUUUGGGAGGCCGAGGUGGGUGGAUCACCUGAGGCCAGGAGUUCGAGACCAGCCUGGCCAACAUGGUGAAACCCCGUCUCUA
ensembl:misc_RNA Metazoa_SRP Metazoan signal recognition particle RNA